rnacentral:tRNA from 1 species
GCCCUGGUGAUGCAGUGGUUAUGUGCUUGGCUACUAACCAAAAGGUUGGUGGUUUGAAUCCACUCAGUGGCU